rnacentral:tRNA from 1 species
GUAUUGGUAGUUCAGUAGUAGAAUUCUUGUUUUCCAUGUGGGAGACCCAGGUUUGAUUCCUGGCCAAGGCA